GGCCUAGUGGCCUAAUAGAUAAUGUAUCAGCAUCUGGAGCUGGGUAUUGUGGGUUCAAGUCCUACCUGGGUAA
rfam:Danio rerio chromosome 4, GRCz11 reference primary assembly.